rnacentral:snRNA from 1 species
AUCUUUGCGCAGAGGCAGUAUCGUAGCCAAUGAGGUUUAUCCGAGGCGCGAUUAUUGCUAGUUGAAAACUUAUCCCAAUACCCCGCUCUGACGACGUGAAAAAGACUGAUAUUAAG